GACGGGGGCCCGCACAAGCGGUGGAGCAUGUGGUUUAAUUCGAAGCAACGCGAAGAACCUUACCAAAUCUUGACAUCCUCUGACCCCUCUAGAGAUAGAGUUUUCCCCUUCGGGGGACAGAGUGACAGGUGGUGCAUGGUUGUCGUCAGCUCGUGUCGUGAGAUGUUGGGUUAAGUCCCGCAACGAGCGCAACCCUUAAGCUUAGUUGCCAUCAUUAAGUUGGGCACUUUAAGUUGACUGCCGGUGACAAACCGGAGGAAGGUGGGGAUGACGUCAAAUCAUCAUGCCCCUUAUGAUUUGGGCUACACACGUGCUACAAUGGACAAUACAAAGGGUAGCGAAACCGCGAGGUCAAGCAAAUCCCAUAAAGUUGUUCUCAGUUCGGAUUGUAGUC
rnacentral:rRNA from 1 species